UGAGGAGUAAUAUCUAACUGUGUAAUAAUUUUGUUUAUGGUCUUUUUAUGAUUUGUAUGUGUAAUAUUUUAGUUGUGAAUUAUUUUGUACACUUUAAGAGAUGUUAAUCAAAAGAAUGGUAAAUUGUUCAUGUUUUGCCAAAAGUACUUGACUUCAUUAAAGUUACUGAUGCAACAUACAAAAAAUAUUUUAAUCAGUCUACCCAGACAUAACAAAACACAACAACACAAAACUUAGUAAAAUUUGUUAAAACUAAGAGAGAAGACUUCUCAAGAAACCUUAGACAAAUUCACAAAAGAUCAAAAUUGAAUUUUAAGUGAAAGUUGAAAUUUUAAAUCCCACGGAAGUUAAAAAUUGUAUCUUAUGAGGAAGACAACACAAACACAGAACAUCAACUUAAGAAACAAAAUCAUCGGAGAAGACUUCUUAUGACGUCUUCUACAAGUCUUCUAUGAGGAAGACUUACAGAAGACUUCUCCGUUUAGCUAGAAACAUUAUUAAACAUCAAUGUUAGUAACUUCAUAAUCAUCACCAAUUAAGUUAUAAAUUCGACUCAGUAGUCCCAAU
rnacentral:lncRNA from 1 species